rnacentral:tRNA from 4 species
GCGCGAGUGGCGGAAUUGGCAGACGCGCGGGAUUUAGGUUCCCGUGGGCAACCGUGUGGGUUCGAGUCCCACCUCGCGCA